GUGUUCGUAGAAAGGAGAGAUGGUUGGCAUCUCCCCUGACAGGGACGGGAACAGCUUUCGGGCUUACCAGUUACCAACACAUCCGGCUAAGGCUACCCACCUCGCGGUGGAGCUCUAAUCCAAUUUUUUUU
rfam:Eucalyptus grandis cultivar BRASTZ1 unplaced genomic scaffold scaffold_4, whole genome shotgun sequence.